GACGAACGCUGGCGGCGUGCCUAAUACAUGCAAGUCGAACGCUGAAGAGAGGAGCUUGCUCUUCUUGGAUGAGUUGCGCACGGGUGAGUAACGCGUAGGUAACCUGCCUUGUAGCGGGGGAUCACUAUUGGAAACGAUAGCUAAUACCGCAUAACAAUGGAUGACACAUGUCGUUUAUUUGAAAGGGGCAAUUGCUCCACUACAAGAUGGCCCUGCGUUGUAUUAGUUAGUAGGUGAGGUAACGGCUCACCUAGGCGACGAUACAUAGCCGACAUGAGAGGGUGAGCAGCCACACUGGGACGGUGACACGGCACAGACGGCCACAGGAGGGGGCAGGAGGGCAUCUGCGGCAAGGGGGGGGAAACAGACCGAGCAACGCCGAGGGAGGAAAGAGGGUCUUCGGAUCGUAGAGGACGGUUUUAAGUUAGGAACGAGUGUGAGAGUGGAAAGUAGAGUGAGUGACGGUAGUUGACCAGGAAGCAACGGCUAACUACGUG
rnacentral:rRNA from 1 species